UAUGGCCACAUCACGCUGAAACAUCAGUUCUUGUAUGAUCACUGAAGUUAAGCAACAUUGAGCUUGCUCAGUAACUGGAUGGGUGACUGCCUGGGAAUACCAGGUUCUGUAA